GAUAAUACCUUACUACUUGGAUAACCGUGGUAAUUCUAGAGCUAAUACAUGCUGAAAAUCCCGACUUCGGAAGGGAUGUGUUUAUUAGAUAAAAAACCAAUGCCCUUCGGGGCUUUUUGGUGAUUCAUGAUAACUUUACGGAUCGCAUAGCCUUGCGCUGGCGACGGUUCAUUCAAAUUUCUGCCCUAUCAACUUUCGAUGGUAAGGUAUUGGCUUACCAUGGUUUCAACGGGUAACGGGGAAUUAGGGUUCGAUUCCGGAGAGGGAGCCUGAGAAACGGCUACCACAUCCAAGGAAGGCAGCAGGCGCGCAAAUUACCCAAUCCCGACACGGGGAGGUAGUGACAAUAAAUACUGAUACAGGGCUCUUUUGGGUCUUGUAAUUGGAAUGAGUACAAUUUAAACCUCUUAACGAGGAACAAUUGGAGGGCAAGUCUGGUGCCAGCAGCCGCGGUAAUUCCAGCUCCAAUAGCGUAUAUUAAAGUUGUUGCAGUUAAAAAGCUCGUAGUUGAAACUUGGGCCUGGCUGGCGGGUCCGCCUCACCGCGUGCACUCGUCCGGCCGGGCCUUCCUUCUGAAGAACCUCAUGCCCUUCACUGGGCGUGCUGGGGAAUCAGGACUUUUACUUUGAAAAAAUUAGAGUGUUCAAAGCAGGCCUUUGCUCGAAUACGUUAGCAUGGAAUAAUAAAAUAGGGCGUGCGUUUCUAUUUUGUUGGUUUCUAGAGACGCCGCAAUGAUUAACAGGAACAGUCGGGGGCAUCAGUAUUCAGUUGUCAGAGGUGAAAUUCUUGGAUUUACUGAAGACUAACUACUGCGAAAGCAUUUGCCAAGGAUGUUUUCAUUAAUCAGUGAACGAAAGUUAGGGGAUCGAAGACGAUCAGAUACCGUCGUA
rnacentral:rRNA from 1 species